rnacentral:snoRNA from 1 species
AAGACUACACUUUCAGGGAUCAUUUCUAUAGUUUGUUACUAUAAGCUAAUUGCCUGCAAGGAGGCAAGAUGUCUCCUGUCUAACUAUCCUGUG